AUCAUUUCUCAGCCUUUUGGCUAAGAUCAGGUGUAGUAUGUGUUCUUAUCAGUUUAGUAUCUGAUAUGUCCUCUAUCCAAGGACAUUAUAUGAAUGGAUUUCAUAUAAUGGGGUUUAGGAGCUUGUUCCAUCCACUCCAAGCCUCAACCUGGAAUUGCAGUACUUCCAGGAAUGGUGCACCCCAC